ACAUGCAAGCCUCCACACCCCAGUGCAAAUGCCCGCCACCCCUAAACAGAAUAUCGGAGCAGGUAUCAGGACCAACCAAAAUAGCCUAUGACACCUUGCUAUGCCACACCCACACGGGCCUACAGCAGUAAUUAACAUUAAGCCAUAAACGAAAGUUUGACUUAGUUAUGAUUUAAAAAGUCGGUAAAUUUCGUGCCAGCCACCGCGGUUACACGAAAGACUAAAAACAAUGAUCCUCGGCGUAAAGCGUGAUCAGAAAUAUAUUAUACUUAAAGAAAAACUGUCAUAAAGCCGUAAAAUGCUACUACGAACAAGAAUCAAACCCUUUAAACAAAUGCUUUGAUUCACGAAAGUCAAGAAACAAACUGGGAUUAGAUACCCCACUAUGCUUGACCUUAAACAUAGACAAUAAUAAUACAAUAUUGUCCGCCAGAGAACUACAAGCAGAAAGCUCGAAACUCCAAGGACUUGGCGGUGCUCCAUACCGACCUAGAGGAGCCUGUCCUAUAAUCGACACCCCACGUUAUACCCAACCACCUUUUGCCACUCAGUCUAUAUACCGCCGUCGUCAGCCUACCUUAUAAAAGAUUAAACAGUAGGCACAAUAGCAACCACAAACACGUCAGGUCAAGGUGUAGCACAUAAGAUGGAAGAGAUGGGCUACAUUUUCUAAUAUAGAACAUACGAAAGGCUAAAUGAAACACUAGCCCGAAGGCGGAUUUAGCAGUCAGAUGAACAAGUAACCUCAUCUUAAACCCGCUCUGGAGCGCGCACACACCGCCCGUCACCCUCAUCAUAAGUCAAUAAUAAAAACAUAUAAAAACACAC
rnacentral:rRNA from 1 species